UGCAGAGGUCCCAAGCGUUGUUCGGAUUCACUGGGCGUAAAGGGUGCGUAGGUGGUCGGGUAAGUCUGAUGUGAAAUCUCCGAGCUCAACUCGGAAAUGGCAUUGGAUACUAUCUGGCUAGAGGAGUGGAGGGGGGACUGGAAUACUUGGUGUAGCAGUGAAAUGCGUAGAUAUCAAGUGGAACACCAGUGGCGAAGGCGAGUCCCUGGACACUUCCUGACACUGAGGCACGAAAGCUAGGGGAGCAAACAGG
rnacentral:rRNA from 1 species